GAUGAACGCUGGCGGUAUGCUUAACACAUGCAAGUCGAACGGUCACUUCGGUGAUAGUGGCGGACGGGUGAGUAACGCGUGAGAAUCUGUCUUCAGGUCGGGGACAACAGUUAGAAAUGACUGCUAAUACCGGAUGUGCCUUUGGGUGAAAGAUUUAUUGCCUGAAAAAGAGCUCGCGUCAGAUUAGCUAGUAGGUGGUGUAAGAGACUACCUAGGCUCCGAUCUGUAGCUGGUCUGAGAGGACGAUCAGCCACACUGGAACUGAGACACGGUCCAGACUCCUACGGGAGGCAGCAGUGGGGAAUUUUACGCAAUGGGCGAAAGCCUGACGGAGCAAUACCGCGUGAGGGACGAAGGCUUUUGGGUCGUAAACCUCUUUUCUCAAGGAAGAUGAUGACGGUACUUGAGGAAUAAGCAUCGGCUAACUCGGUG
rnacentral:rRNA from 1 species